rnacentral:rRNA from 1 species
AUUGAACGCUGGCGGCAUGCCUUACACAUGCAAGUCGAACGGCAGCACGGGAGCAAUCCUGGUGGCGAGUGGCGAACGGGUGAGUAAUAUAUCGGAACGUGCCCAGUCGUGGGGGAUAACGCAGCGAAAGCUGUGCUAAUACCGCAUACGAUCUAUGGAUGAAAGCGGGGGAUCGCAAGACCUCGCGCGAUUGGAGCGGCCGAUAUCAGAUUAGCUAGUUGGUGAGGUAAAGGCUCACCAAGGCGACGAUCUGUAGCUGGUCUGAGAGGACGACCAGCCACACUGGAACUGAGACACGGUCCAGACUCCUACGGGAGGCAGCAGUGGGGAAUUUUGGACAAUGGGCGAAAGCCUGAUCCAGCAAUGCCGCGUGCAGGAUGAAGGCCUUCGGGUUGUAAACUGCUUUUGUACGGAACGAAACGGUGAGCUCUAAUACAGUUUGCUAAUGACGGUACCGUAAGAAUAAGCACCGGCUAACUACGUGCCAGCAGCCGCGGUAAGAC